rnacentral:rRNA from 1 species
UACGGAGGGUGCAAACGUUGCUCGGAAUCAUUGGGCGUAAAGCGCACGUAGGCGGCCCUCCUUGUCGCGUGUGAAAGCCCCGGGCUCAACCUGGGAACGGCGCGCGAGACGGGGGGGCUGGAGUUCGGGAGAGGAGCGUGGAAUUCCCAGUGUAGAGGUGAAAUUCGUAGAUAUUGGGAAGAACACCGGUGGCGAAGGCGGCGCUCUGGACCGAGACUGACGCUGAGGCGCGAAAGCGUGGGGAGCAAACAGG